UACAGAGGUCUCAAGCGUUGUUCGGAUUCAUUGGGCGUAAAGGGUGCGUAGGCGGCGCGGUAAGUCGGGUGUGAAAUCUCGGAGCUUAACUCCGAAACUGCAUUCGAUACUGCCGUGCUUGAGGACUGGAGAGGAGACUGGAAUUUACGGUGUAGCGGUGAAAUGCGUAGAUACCGUAAGGAAGACCAGUGGCGAAGGCGGGUCUCUGGACAGUUCCUGACGCUGAGGCACGAAGGCCAGGGGAGCAAACGGG
rnacentral:rRNA from 1 species